rnacentral:rRNA from 1 species
AUUGAACGCUGGCGGCAUGUUUUACACAUGCAAGUCGAACGGCAGCGCGGGCUUCGGCCUGGCGGCGAGUGGCGAACGGGUGAGUAAUAUAUCGGAACGUACCCAAGAGUGGGGGAUAACGUAGCGAAAGUUACGCUAAUACCGCAUACGAUCUAAGGAUGAAAGCAGGGGAUCGCAAGACCUUGUGCUCCUGGAGCGGCCGAUAUCUGAUUAGCUAGUUGGUGAGGUAAAGGCUCACCAAGGCAACGAUCAGUAGCUGGUCUGAGAGGACGACCAGCCACACUGGAACUGAGACACGGUCCAGACUCCUAUGGGAGGCAGCAGUGGGGAAUUUUGGACAAUGGGGGCAACCCUGAUCCAGCAAUGCCGCGUGAGUGAAGAAGGCCUUCGGGUUGUAAAGCUCUUUUGUCAGGGAAGAAAAGGCUGUGGCUAAUAUCCACAGCUGCUGACGGUACCUGAAGAAUAAGCACCGGCUAACUACGUGCCAGCCGCCGCAGUAA